UACGUAGGGGGCAAGCGUUGUCCGGAUUCAUUGGGCGUAAAGAGCGUGUAGGCGGCCAGGUAGGUCGGUUGUGAAAACUGGAGGCUCAACCUUCAGACGUCGAUCGAAACCAUCUGGCUAGAGUCCGGGAGAGGAGAGUGGAAUUCCUGGUGUAGCGGUGAAAUGCGCAGAUAUCAGGAAGAACACCCGUGGCGAAAGCGGCUCUCUGGAACGGUACUGACGCUGAGACGCGAAAGCCAGGGGAGCAAACGGG
rnacentral:rRNA from 1 species